UGUCGGACCAGGGCACAGAGCUGUUUAAAGGCAAUGAGAUGCUCCACUAAUGGAUGUCGCUUAUGGCAUUGGAGAGAUCAUCUGCAAUCUCUAAUGGCUACGAUGAUUUUGAAGGUCCACCAGUGACGCCAGAAGUGAAGGUAUCUGUAUCAGCACUGUUGAGUGCCCAUCUGGGAGGAUACCCAGCUAUUUGUUGGGCUGUGGGCAGCAUUGGGAACUCGGCAACCAAUGGUAUGACUUCAGUGCAGGUGCAGCAGUGAGACCAUCACCAACCGCAGCUUCAAAGAAUACACCAGACAGAAGAUUCCCCGAACACAAAUUAACAAUGGAGGAGAAUACCAAUCUUGAAUCUGUAAUAAGUCAUUUCCUAAUAUGAAGUCUUUUGAAAUACAUCUUAAUAUAGUGUCUUAUGAGAGAUCCUUGUUUUAUACCAAAGGCUGGUAAUAAAUUAAUUCGUCAAUGAAAA